rnacentral:rRNA from 1 species
AGCGAACGCUGGCGGCAGGCCUAACACAUGCAAGUCGAGCGCCGUAGCAAUACGGAGCGGCAGACGGGAGAGUAACACGUGGGAACGUACCCUUUGGUUCGGAACAACCCAGGGAAACUUGGGCUAAUACCGGAUAAGCCCUCACGGGGAAAGAUGUUAUCGCCGAAGGAUCGGCCCGCGUCUGAUUAGCUAGUUGGUGGGGUAAUGGCCCACUAAGGCGACGAUCAGUAGCUGGUCUGAGAGGAUGAUCAGCCUCACUGGGACUGAGACACGGACCAGACUCCUACGGGAGGCAGCAGUGGGGAAUAUUGGACAAUGGGCGCAAGCCUGAUCCAGCCAUGCCGCGUGGGUGAUGAAGGCCCUAGGGUUGUAAAGCCCUUUCGGCGGGGAAGAUAAUGACGGUACCCGCAGAAGAAGCCCCGGCUAACUUCGUGCCAGCCGCCGCCGUAACAC